ensembl:lncRNA
CGGAAGUCUUUUAUCGACUUAACGUGAUGCACGUAUAAAUUCUCCUCCCCCUUCACAUCUGCUCCAAGUGCUAACCAUGGCAGAAAAUUCAAACACACAUAAAUGUGAGUGUUAAGCAUGAAUGUGGGUUAUUUUUUGACAGUGCCUUUAAUUUCGAUGUAUAAUGUGUACUUUUCAGCCCAGUUUUAAUUAUGUUUAUUACGUUUCUUGAUUUUACUGGCUUAUUGUUUUUAAUUGUUUAAUUAGUGCCUCUUAUAUUGAUAAAUGGGGAAUAGAGAAUGUUUUAAUUUAGGCCUGUAGUUAAUUCAUGUGUUGAGUAUUUGUAGUUUAUGCCUGCAUUGGUUAAUAUGCAACACAUUAACAUUUCGAACUGCUUCACUGUAGUGUAAAAUUAUUUCUUACAAGGACUGAUAAGGAGAACGAAAACUUAAUUAAAUUCCGUAUGGAGCUUGAUUCUGACUUCACUGGGAAGAGGAACAGUGCCAAAAAAGCCUGGAUUAAAGUUCUUCAGAGGAUUGGUUUAGAUGGAAAAGUUACACCAAGUCAGAUUUCCAAAAAAUGGGACAAUCUAAAAAGAAAAUAUAAGGCAUGUACAAAAUGAAUGCAUGUAUUUCAUUUGGUGUGAAUCUUCUUCUUGCUAGUUUAAUAGAGAAUGGAUUCAUUUUAUUUUAGGAGCUCCGCUGUCCUCCUAUGGGAACUGGAACAGAUAGUGGGGAGGCCACAGCAGCCACAUGCCCGUGGUUUUCUGCCAUGCAUGAGGCUAUUGGUCUAUUGAUCCUCC